AGUAAUGAAGGUCCUGAGUGUCUCAAGGUGGGGACAAUCCUAGGAAAAAUCUACACUAAGAGAGGUAGAAAGCAGUCACCAUCGGGGAGCUUCAUCACAGGGUGGCGAACGACAGAGCCCACUCUCAGAAACACCUGAAGAAUAAGACAGCGAAGAGAUCCAAGCAAGCAAGAAAUGUCAGACAUGAGGUGUGUAUGUGCUUGGCGUUCUUCAAAGCAUUGGGUUACAGAGAGAAGACUGAAAGCCCAAAGAAGUUUACAUUGUAAUGGAAAGAAGACAAAUACAA